AGGUCAGGUCCUCAGCGAAACACGGAGGGGUGAGAACACAGAAACCAGGAAGUCUCCGUAUCUGGCAGUGAGUGUCUGCACACCUGGAAUACCCUCAGAGCCUGGUCAGGGGUCUCCCAUCUCUCCCGGCCGAAAGUCCCAUCCUUCCCCUAUUCAAGUCCCUAUCCAAGUUGAAAAGCCUAAGAGCCAGGAGCACGGAUGUCUGGUGUCUGAGGGCAGGAGCAGACAGGUGUCCCAAAUCAGAUGCUAAAAAGCCCACGUGACGAGCUGAAGUGAGAAGAAUGGCACUGGCUUGGUGGUGAAGCGUUAGGUUACCUCGGAUCUCCCGAGGAUGUCAGAAGAAAGACCACCUGCUUUCAGAUCGUGGUUGACCGCAGGUCAGAGCCCCACAUGAUGUCUUGAGGAAAGGAAAAGUGAUCAAGAUCCCUGCCAAUUCCAUCAUAAAGUGGGCCUGGAGAACUGAUGUUCCCCCAAGGCUAAAUAAGAACGUUGGAUGAGGAGAUGGUGGGAAUCACCACCCCCGCAUCUUUCAAGUCCCUGAUGGAGGCACUGAUCUCUGCAACCCAACAGGAAUGUGGUAUUGCUUUUGAUUCAUUAUUUUCCGAAGUAGAGAUGGUUCUAG